rnacentral:rRNA from 1 species
UAGGAUAGAGGCCUACCAUGGUGGCAACGGGUAACGGGGUGUUAGGGCACGACACCGGAGAGGGAGCCUGAGAAACGGCUACCACAUCCAAGGAUGGCAGCAGGCGCGCAAAUUACCCAAUCCCGACACGGGGAGGUAGUGACAAUAAAUAACAAUACGGGGUUCUUUCGGAUCUCGUAAUUGGAAUGAGUACAAUUUAAAUCUCUUAACGAGGAACAAUUGGAGGGCAAGUCUGGUGCCAGCAGCCGCGGUAAUUCCAGCUCCAAUAGCGUAUAUUAAAGUUGUUGCAGUUAAAAAGCUCGUAGUUGAAUUUCGGGGUUAGUAGGUUGGUCAUGCCUCUGGUAUGUACUGGUCUCACUGAUUCCUCCUUCCUUAUGAACCGUAAUGCCAUUAAUUUGGUGUUGCGGGGAAUUUGGACUGUUACUUUGAAAAAAUUAGAGUGUUUAAAGCAAGCUAACGCUUGAAUACAUUAGCAUGGAAUAAUGAAAUAGGACGUUCGAUCUUAUUUUGUUGGUUUCUAGGAUUGACGUAAUGAUUAAUAGGGAUAGUUGGGGGCAUUAGUAUUCAAUUGUCAGAGGUGAAAUUCUUGGAUUUAUUGAAGACUAACUACUGCGAAAGCAUUUGCCAAGGAUGUUUUCAUUAAUCAAGAACGAAAGUUAGGGGAUCGAAGACGAUCAGAUACCGUCGUAGUCUUAACCAUAAACUAUGCCGACUAGGGAUCGGA